UACGUAGACCUCAAGCGUUAUUCGGAUUUAUUGGGCGUAAAGAGCAUGUAGGAGGUUUCGCGCGUCUUCUGUUAAAGCCCAGGGCCUAACCCUGGAAGUGCAGGAGAUACGGCGGGACUAGAGGAGGUUAGAGGUGCAUGGAACUCACGGUGUAGGGGUGAAAUCCGUUGAUAUCGUGGGGAACACCAAAGGCGAAGGCAGUGCACUGGGACCUUCCUGACUCUGAGAUGCGAAAGCGUGGGGAGCAAAAAGG
rnacentral:rRNA from 1 species